UACGUAGGUGGCAAGCGUUGUCCGGAUUUACUGGGCGUAAAGAGCGCGCAGGCGGUCGUCCAAGUCGCGUGUGAAAGCCCCCGGCUCAACUGGGGAGGGUCACGCGAUACUGAUCGACUCGAAGGCAGGAGAGGGUAGUGGAAUUCCCGGUGUAGUGGUGAAAUGACGUAGAUAUCGGGAGGAACACCAGUGGCGAAGGCGACUACCUGGCCUGUUCUUGACGCUGAGGCGCGAAAGCUAGGGGAGCAAACGGG
rnacentral:rRNA from 1 species